rnacentral:rRNA from 1 species
GGGCGUAAAGCGCGCGCAGGCGGUUUCUUAAGUCUGAUGUGAAGGCCCACGGCUUAACCGUGGAGGGUCAUUGGAAACUGGGAGACUUGAGUGCAGAAGAGGAAAGUGGAAUUCCAAGUGUAGCGGUGAAAUGCGUAGAGAUUUGGAGGAACACCAGUGGCGAAGGCGACUUUCUGGUCUGCAACUGACGCUGAGGCGCGAAAGCAUGGGGAGCAAACAGGAUUAGAUACCCUGGUAGUCCAUGCCGUAAACGAUGAGUGCUAGGUGUUAGGGGGUUUCCACCCCUUAGU